AUACUUUCCUGGCAGGGGAGACACUGUGAUCACCAAGGCAGUUCUCCCAGGGCGAGGCUCACCCAUUGCACUCUGGGUGUGCUGACCUCUGCGAUUUCCACAAAUGCAAAAGA
rnacentral:snRNA from 1 species